UACGUAGGGUGCGAGCGUUUGUCCGGAAUUAUUGGGCGUAAAGGGCUCGUAGGCGGUCUGUCGCGUCGGGAGUGAAAACUCAGGGCUUAACCCUGAGCCUGCUUCCGAUACGGGCAGACUAGAGGUAUGCAGGGGAGACUGGAAUUCCUGGUGUAGCGGUGGAAUGCGCAGAUAUCAGGAGGAACACCGGUGGCGAAGGCGGGUCUCUGGGCAGUAACUGACGCUGAGGAGCGAAAGCGUGGGGAGCGAACAGG
rnacentral:rRNA from 1 species